GUGACAUACCAGGCAGACUCGGAACAUAUGCCCCUGCUUAUAUACAAGCAGGAAAUUGCUCUCUUUCUUCUACUCUCUUCUCUGGAGCCACCAUGUGAGCGUGCUGCUGGCAUCCUGGAUCAGAUAAGUCUUUAUAAAAUAUAUAGAAUAAUAAUUAUGGUUGAUACUUAAGUCAGAGAUAGCAGAUAAGAAAUCCCAGUCAUUGGCCAGCAGCAUUGUACCUAAUGUAAGUGUCUGUCUGUUACUUGGGACCUUAACCUGGCAACAGGGCUCCAGAAGAUUGGAGGAAAGAUUUGUCUUUACACUAUUUUCUUUUAAAAGUCACCCAGUUGAUAAGACAACAUGACAGCAGCCCAAAGAAGAUGAACCCAUACAUCUUUGAUCUUUUGAUAUGACGUCUACAGAAGUCAAAGGAUGCGCUGGUCUUUGAAAGUCGCAGACUGUCCAAUGUGUAAAAGACCAUGUUCCUUGGAGUCUAAGAAGGUAAACUUCUCUGGAAACACCAAACUGAGACACAGGCAACAUCAUCUCCUAGGGGAUUCACAGUGGACAGUGACAAUUAGCUCUCACAGUAAGCUUGAAAGGCAAGCCUUUUCCCUCCCUGCUGCUCUCUGCUUCCCUGAUGUCACAUGUGGGCAUCACAGGCCGUUCACACCAUCAAACCACUAUCAUUUUCUGCCUCACCACAGUCCAGAAACAAUGGCCAGUCAACAGGAACCAAAACCUCUGAAACCACAAACCAGAAUUAACCUUUAUUUCAUAAAUUGCUUCUCUCGGGUAUUUUUCCAAAUGACAAAAAUUCUAAUGCAUAAGAGAAAGCCGAAGACCUUGGCUCUUAUGAUUUCUGUCCAUCGGAUAUAGAGGAAAACAAUAGAAGUAACUAAGCUGUACUGGCUCUUGAUGAAGCCAAUGAGGAUAUUCCAAAUCCUCCUACUAUCCAAUUGGUCCAGUGGAAAUCCCAGAAGCGUCUAAGUGGAAGUGCUAGUCAUCCAAUAACCACAAUAUGAAAACCAAUACAGAUAAGGGCCUUGACAUUUCAUGAUCCUAUAGGCUCCAAAUCCUAGUGGACAAGUGGCAGUAUAAAAUAUGGCCUUUUCCCCAUACCUAUUCAGUUUUUGUUGUCAAGAAAACACUCAAGACUCAGUGACCUACAAGGAAGCUAGAAGUACUUUGUUUCAUUUUCUGAAGAUGGAACAGUUCAAAAUCGGGUGGUUGCAUCUCUUGAGAAUUAUCAAUUUUGCAUAGGAAAACAAAAGGGGAAUUGGGCCAAUGCUAAAAAAAAAAGAAAAUCACAAAGAACAGCUCCCUUUUAUGACAAUCCACUCAUAUAAUAAUUAAAACGCACCCAGCAGAGAAGAACAGAAAGUCACUGACACCUUUUAAUCACCCAAUCAUCUCUUUUAUUAGAAUUAAUUAUACAGGAUAAUGAUUUUCAUCGUGACAUUUUCAUGCACAUAUAUGAUAUCCUUUGAUCAUAUCCACCCUCCUCUUGAUCUGUUUUCUCUUCUCUGGUAACUUUUAUUCCACCUUCAUGUCAUCUUAUUUUCCUUUCUUAGACCCCACAUAUGAGACAAAACAUAUUUGUCUUUCUGAUCUGGGUUAUUUCACUCAAUAUGUUGAUCUCUAGUACUAUUGGUCUUCUUAAAAGUGAUAUUUCAUUGUUCUCUAUGGCCAUACAGCUUCCAUUACCACAUCAGGAGCAAUUAAAACUUAACAAAUUUUGGAUGGAACAAACCAUCCAAAUUUUGUAUCCAACACUACGUACGAUCCCACAAUGUUUCUUCCUCUCAGCUAAAAGUACUAGUUCAUAGUUCCUCUGUGAAAUUUGACACAUUUUCUUGCUUUGCAUGUGACUCAGGCUUUGAACAAACCUAGAUUGUUCCAGAACUACCUGAUACUAGGUGCAUGAAUGUGGGCGUAUUACAUCAAAAUCCCUCAAACUUAUACUCCAUUACCAAAAGAGAAAAUAAAACACAGUGACUAGACCAGAUAAGCUAACAACAGGGGUGGGGGUUAAUUCAAACACCAUUCAUAAAGUCUGUUGCAGGGAUUAGAAGAACCAGCUAUAAGUCCUGAAUAAGUAGGGGAAUAAGCAGCUAAUGGAACCAUGCUCUUGAGAGGUGGCCCAGCAAGUGACCAUCUUUUAUGGGGAGGAAUUCAGCAUCUAUCAGAUACCCAGAGAAAUGACUGUUUUGAGUUCAUUCCCCUUUCACCUUCUACUAGCCAGCCAGUGUAUCACCCUUCCAACCAAUACCAGUAGCAGCCAGAGGAGACAGUGGAGGGUAGAGAGAAGAAAACCUCAGUACAGAUAGGAAGGAGCAUAUCCAUGGCACAGAAAUCUCAUGGUAGUAAUCUGAAGACUAGCUAGAAUACCAAUCUGUCAUAGGCUCAUUUCUGUUCCUUUCUGGUAUUUAUUCCUGCUGUCUCUUAGACUUUGGCUCUGACUAUUCUCCGUAUCUUCCCAGCCUCUAAAAUCUGCCCCCAUCUAAUUUGUUCCAGAGAUUGGCUCCAGCUCUUAAGCCACUUUUACUAUCUCCACCUCUUUGCAAAUUGCCUUUCUCGAUGAGUUAUAAUGUUUCUCACUUGGGGGUGACACUGCUCUUUCACAAGUUCCUUUCACUGCACUAGUACACACCUUCAAUAUCUGAGAAAGGCAGAAACUCAGACAAAGUAAAAAUAAGUGGCACCCUUACUAACAACUACCUGAUAUUUUGUGCAUGAAAGGGGUUGGCCAUACUUUAUACUCAUUUCCAUAUCUGAUUUUAGGUCAGAAACAUUAGCAUUAGCAAGCUACAAAGAAUCAUCAAAGGAAGAAAACAAGAAGAAAGGAAAAGUGUAAGGGGGAAAUCCACAGACAAGGAUUAAUGGUUACAGUCAGAGUGAGAAGGAAAAGACACAGACAAGCAGGGGCAGGGCACAGUGGUGUCUUCCUGUAAUUCCAGCACCCAGGAGAUGGGGACAGUAGGAUCCUGGGUUCCAGGCCAACCUGGCUUGCAUAGCAACUCAGGUCCCAGUCAAUCUGGACUAUACAAUCAGAUCCUGUAAGAGAUGGGAG
ensembl:lncRNA